rnacentral:rRNA from 1 species
GUGGGGAAUCUUAGACAAUGGGCGCAAGCCUGAUCUAGCCAUGCCGCGUGAGCGAUGAAGGCCUUAGGGUUGUAAAGCUCUUUCAGCUGGGAAGAUAAUGACGGUACCAGCAGAAGAAGCCCCGGCUAACUCCGUGCCAGCAGCCGCGGUAAUACGGAGGGGGCUAGCGUUGUUCGGAAUUACUGGGCGUAAAGCGCACGUAGGCGGAUCAGAAAGUCAGAGGUGAAAUCCCAGGGCUCAACCUUGGAACUGCCUUUGAAACUCCUGAUCUUGAGGUCGAGAGAGGUGAGUGGAAUUCCGAGUGUAGAGGUGAAAUUCGUAGAUAUUCGGAGGAACACCAGUGGCGAAGGCGGCUCACUGGCUCGAUACUGACGCUGAGGUGCGAAAGCGUGGGGAGCAAACAGGAUUAGAAACCCCAGUAGUCC